rnacentral:rRNA from 1 species
CCUACGGGAGGCAGCAGUGGGGAAUAUUGGGCAAUGGGCGCAAGCCUGACCCAGCAACGCCGCGUGAAUGAAGAAGGCUUUCGGGUUGUAAAGCUCUUUUAAGAGGGAAGAGCAGGAGACGGUAUCUCUAGAAUACGCCACGGCUAACUACGUGCCAGAAGGCGCGGCAAUAUGUAGGUCGCAAGCGUUGUCCGGAUUUACGGGGUGAAAAGGGCGUGUAGCCGGGCUGACAAGUCAGAUGUGAAAUUCCGGGGCUCAACCCCGGACCUGCAUUUGAAACUGUUGGUCUUGAGUGUCGGAGAGGCAGGUGGAAUUCCUAGUGUAGCGGUGAAAUGCGUAGAUAUUAGGAGGAACACCAGUGGCGAAGGCGGCCUGCUGGACGGCAACUGACGGUGAGGCGCGAAAGCGUGGGGAGCAAACAGGAUUAGAUACCCGGGUAGUC